rnacentral:tRNA from 1 species
ACCUGGUUGGCUCAGUUGGAAGAGUUUAUGACUCUUGAUCUUGAGGUUGUGAGUUCAAGCCCCACAUUGAGUG